rnacentral:rRNA from 1 species
CAAAAACAUGGUUUCUUGAGAGAAGAUAAGAGAUUUAACCUGCCCACUGAAGAUUUAUUAUUUUGAAGGGCCGCAGUAUUUUAACUGUGCAAAGGUAGCAUAAUCAUUAGUCUUUUAAUUAAGGGCUAGAAUGAAUGGUUGGACGAGGUAAAUUCUAUAUUUUAAUAAAAAAUUGAAUUUAGAAUUUAAGUUAAAAUACUUAAAUAUUAAUAAGGGACGAGAAGACCCUAUAGAGUUUUAUAAGCAAGAUUUUAAUUGAGUUUUUAAGUAAUUUUUGGUUAAUUAUUAAGUUUAUUUAAUUGGGGUGAUUAAAAGAUAAAGAAAACUCUUUUUUGAUUUAAAUAUAUUUAAUAGAGGUUAGAUCCAUAAAUUAUAUUAAUGAUUAUAAGAUUAAAUUACCUUAGGGAUAACAGCAUAAUUCUUUUAAAGAGUUCUUAUCGAAAAAAGAGAUUGUGACCUCGAUGUUGGAUUAAGAUAAAUUUUGGGUGUAGAAGUCUAAAUUUUAGGUCUGUUCGACCUUUAAAUUCUUACAUGAUCUGAGU